AAACCGGUGACAUGUUUCAAGUUGCAUCAUACUUAACAUCUCAGGGUGAACCGAGAAAAUAAACAUGGCGGAGACACGCCCGCAGAAAGAGAGAUGAACUUCGAACAAGGAUCAGCCACUUCAUGGAUCAACACCAGGCAGCACCAAAACAAGAUGUACGUGAACGCCUUCACCCUAUUGCCUGGAAUCCCCUAUCCGGCCUGUCAUGGUCAACGAUCCCUGCUGUCAGGACGUGUCUGGAUCCACCCUCACCUCUCCAUGUCAGGGACAACUCAGUUAUGCUCUCAGUGACAAAUGUCUCACUCUUCCUUCACAACCAGAUGUAAAAAGCUUACACAAGCACACAUUCCUGGCAGAGCACUGGACUGGAUAGUCCUGGACUAGAGUGGAACCAGACAAAUGAGUUUAAGCAACAUAA